UACGUAGGGAGCAAGCGUUGUCCGGAAUCAUUGGGCGUAAAGCGCACGUAGGCGGAUCGUUAAGUCGGGGGUGAAAUCCUGGAGCUCAACUCCAGAACUGCCUUCGAUACUGAGAGUCUCGAGUCCGGGAGAGGUGAGUGGAACUGCGAGUGUAGAGGUGAAAUUCGUAGAUAUUCGCAAGAACACCAGUGGCGAAGGCGGCUCACUGGCCCGGUACUGACGCUGAGGUGCGAAAGCGUGGGGAGCAACAGG
rnacentral:rRNA from 1 species